rnacentral:rRNA from 1 species
GACGAACGCUGGCGGCGUGCUUAACACAUGCAAGUCGAACGGAAAGGCCCUGCUUUUGUGGGGUGCUCGAGUGGCGAACGGGUGAGUAACACGUGAGUAACCUGCCCUUGACUUUGGGAUAACUUCAGGAAACUGGGGCUAAUACCGGAUAGGAGCUCCUGCUGCAUGGUGGGGGUUGGAAAGUUUCGGCGGUUGGGGAUGGACUCGCGGCUUAUCAGCUUGUUGGUGGGGUAGUGGCUUACCAAGGCUUUGACGGGUAGCCGGCCUGAGAGGGUGACCGGCCACCUUGGGACUGCGAUACGGCCCAGACUCCUACGGGAGGCAGCAGUGGGGAAUAUGACACAAUGGGCGGAAGUCUGAUGCAGCAACGCCGCGUGCGGGAUGACGGCCUUCGGGGUGUAAACCGCUUUCGCCUGUGACGAAGCGUGAGUGACGGUAAUGGGUAAAGAAGCACCGGCUAACUACGUG